rnacentral:rRNA from 1 species
UACGGAGGGUGCAAGCGUUAUCCGGAUUUACUGGGGUUAAAGGGUGCGCAGGCGGAUAUGUAAGUCAGUGGUGAAAUCUCCGGGCUUAACCCGGAAACUGCCGUUGAUACUAUAUAUCUUGAAUGCUGUGGAGGUAAGCAGAAUAUGUCAUGUAGCGGUGAAAUGCUUAGAUAUGACAUAGAAUACCUAUUGCGAAGGCAGCUUACUACACAGAUAUUGACGCUCAUGCACGAAAGCGUGGGGAUCAAACAGG